GACGUAGGGCGCGAGCGUUGUCCGGAUUUAUUGGGCGUAAAGAGCUCGUAGGCGGCUCGUUGCGUCAACCGUGAAAUCCCCAGGCUUAACCUGGGAACUGCGUCUGAUACUGGAAGGCUCGAGUUCGGGAGAGGAAUGUGGAAUUCCAGGUGUAGCGGUGAAAUGCGUAGAUAUCUGGAGGAACACCGGUGGCGAAGGCGGCAUUCUGGACCGAAACUGACGCUGAGGCGCGAAAGCCAGGGGAGCAAACGGG
rnacentral:rRNA from 1 species